GAAAGUAAAUGACUCUUUAGAGUCUGAUGUGCGAUCUUGUAAAAAAGUGUAGCAUGGCCCCAUUCUAACUGUUUACAGUAGGGUGGCGGAAGAGCGACGCGGUGAGACCCGAAAGAUGGUGAACUAUUCCUGAGCAGGACGAAGCCAGAGGAAACUCUGGUGGAAGUCCGAAGCGGUUCUGACGUGCAAAUCGAUCGUCUGACUUGGGUAUAGGGGCGAAAGACUAAUCGAACCAUCUAGUAGCUGGUUCCCUCUGAAGUUUCCCCCAGGAUAGCUGGAGCUCAAGAGUAGUUAUACUCGGUAAAGCGAAUGAUUAGAGGACUUGGGAACGAAAUGUUCUUAACCUAUUCUCAAACUCUAAAUGGUUAUGAUGUCAAAGUUGCUUGAUUUUGAACUUUGGCGUUGAAUACGAGCUCCAAGUGGGCCAUUUUUGGUAAGCAGAACUGGCGAUGUGGGAUGAACCAAACGCGGAGUUGCGGUGCCAAAGUAUCCGCUCAUUAGACCCCAUAAAAGGUGUUGGUUGAUACAGACAGCAGGACGGUGGCCAUGGAAGUCGGAAUCCGCUAAGGAGUGUGUAACAACUCACCUGCCGAAUCAACUAGCCCUGAAAAUGGAUGGCGCUGGAGCGGGUCACCUAUACUCUGCCGUCAUAAGCUUGUAUUUUGUUAAAAGUCUUGCAAUGACGUGUAAGAGGGUCGUAGUGGUUGCGUUGAAGGCUUUGGGUGUGCACCCAGCUGGAGCUUCCACUAGUGCAGAUCUUGGUGGUAGUAGCAAAUAUUCAAGUGAGAUCCUUGUAGACUGAAGUGGAGAAGGGUUCCACGUGAACAGCAGUUGAAUGUGGGUCAGUCGAUCCUAAGGCACCGGCUAAAGCCGUCUAGACACUGCGGGGAGAUGAGAUACUUAACGGUAACUUGUCUACCUGGUUGCCGAAAGGGAAGUGGGUUAAUAUUCCCACACCAGGCAUGGGAGAUUGUGAUCCGCGAGGAUUACUUUGCGCGGUGACGCAAACGAACUCGCAGACCUCGUGUGGAGUCCGGGCCAGAGUUCUCUUUUCUGGUUUAGAGAUCAUGUCCCUGGAAGUGGCUCAGCCUGAGAUAGGGAUACUGGUCUUGUAAAGCGCAGCGGUUCCUGUUGUGUCCCGUGUGCUCCACAUGAGCCGUGAAAAUGCGAGGGAGGCAAUUUAAAAUCUCCUGCCUGAUCGUACCCAUAUCCGCAGCAGGUCUCCAAGGUGAACAGCCUCUAGUCGAUAGAAUAAUGUAGGUAAGGGAAGUCGGCAAAUUAGAUUCGUAACUUCGGGAAAAGAAUUGGCUCUAAAGGUUGGGUCAGUCGGGCUGUUGUGUGAAACUGGUGGACUUUGCUCGUGGCUGCUUGAGCUUCCUUACGGGGCGGCGCUUGUGGACUAGUAGUGAGGACUGCUUGUGGAGUGCUUCAGCUGCGUGCUAUUUCGCAAGAUAUAGUACUUCGAUUGGCGCUGAACAAAAAAGGCAAAUGCUUACUUGAUCUUGAUUUUCAGUACGAAUACAGACCGCGAAAGCGUGGCUUAUCGAUCCUUUUGAGUUUGUAAAGUUUACAGCAAGAGGUGUCAGAAAAGUUACCACAGGGAUAACUGGCUUGUGGCGGCCAAGCGUCCAUAGCGACGUCGCUUUUUGAUCCUUCGAGUCGGCUCUUCCUAUCAUUGCGAAGCAGAAUUCGCCAAACGUUGGAUUGUUCACCCACCAAUAGGGAACGUGAGCUGGGUUUAGACCGUCGUGAGACAGGUUAGUUUUACCCUACUAAAUACUUGUUGCUAUGAUGGUAAUCCUGCUUAGUACGAGAGGAACCGCAGGUUCAGACAUUUGGUUCAUGUGCUUGGUCGAUAGGCCAAUGGCGCGAAGCUACCAUCUGAGGGAUUAUGACUGAACGCCUCUAAGUCAGAAUCCCGCCCAGUCAUGAUAGCAAUAUAUAUCGCUCUCCGGUGUCGGAAGGCAAAAAGCAAAGAAAAAAAAAGUGGAAAUUCAAGCCGCAAAUACAUAGAAUUAUUGCUGCGGUUAGAAGCUCAUAGUUGGUUGU
rnacentral:rRNA from 1 species